rnacentral:rRNA from 1 species
CCGCCGCCUUCUCUUCCCCCCAAAUCCAUCCCCUCUUCUCCCCCAUCUCCGACGCCGACGACGCCGCCGCCCGAGGCCGCCGCCGCCGCCGCCACCACCCGAGGCGGCGGGAGCCGCGCCACGAGCCGCCCCCGCUAGCCCCGCCCGCCGCCCGACCCACAGCGGCGAGAUGGCGAACCUGGGAGGCGGCGCGGAGGCGCACGCGCGGUUCAAGCAGUACGAGUACCGCGCCAACUCGAGCCUGGUGCUCACCACCGACUCGCGGCCGCGGGACACGCACGAGCCCACGGGCGAGCCCGAGACGCUCUGGGGCCGGAUCGACAAGAGGAGCUUCGGCGACCGCGCCGUGCAGGCCAAGCCCCCCGAGCUCGAGGACCGCCUCACCAAGUCCCGCAAGAAGAAGGAGCGCGACGCCGCCGCCUCUGCCGGCGACGCCGACGCCGACCAGCCCCGCAAGCGCAGGCGCCGCUCCUCCGCCGCCCAGCGCGAGGAGAGCGUGCUCUCCCUUGCGGACGAUGUCGUCUACAAGCCCCAGACCAAGGAGACGCGCGCCGCCUACGAGGCCAUGCUCAGCGUCAUCCAGCAGCAGUUCGGCGGCCAGCCGCUCGACGUGCUUGGCGGCGCUGCUGAUGAGGUGCUCGCCGUCCUCAAGAAUGACAAGAUCAAGAACCCUGACAAGAAGAAGGAGAUCGAGAAGCUCCUCAACCCCAUCUCCAGCGCCAUGUUCGACCAGUUUGUCUCCAUCGGGAAGCUCAUCACAGAUUUCCAUGAUGCCAGCGACCCUGCUGCUGCUCCUUCUGGUGAUGGCGGGGACGCCACCAUGGAUGAUGAUAUUGGAGUUGCUGUCGAGUUCGAGGAGGAUGAAGAUGAUGAGGAAAGUGAUUUUGAUCAGGUGCAAGAUGACUUGGAUGACGACGAUGAUGAUGUGGCUGAGUUGAACCGUCCUGGAGGUAUGCAGAUGGGCGGAGAGUUGGAUGACGAUGAUAUGCAGAACUCCAAUGAGGGCCUGAACAUAAAUGUGCAGGACAUUGAUGCUUACUGGCUGCAGAGGAAGAUAACACAAGCAUACGAAGAUAUUGAUCCCCAGCAGAGCCAGAAGCUUGCCGAGGAGAUAUUGAAGAUAAUUGCUGUGGGUGACGACAGAGAUGUUGAGAAUCGCCUUGUCAUGGAGUUGGACUAUGAGAAAUUCGAUCUCAUUAAACUGGUACUGCGCAACCGGUUCAAGAUAGUCUGGUGUACCCGCUUAGCCAGGGCUGAAGAUCAGGAAGAGCGGAAGAAGAUAGAGGAAGAGAUGAUGGAUAACCCAAGCUUAGCCCCAAUAUUGGAGCAGCUACAUGCAACUAGAGCCUCUGCAAAGGAGAGGCAGAAGAAUCUGGAGAAAAGUAUCAGGGAUGAGGCCAAGAGGCUUCUUAACAAUGACAGUGCUGGCGCUGAUGGUCCAAGGGAGCGCCGGGCAGUUGAGCGGGAUACGGAGAGUGGAUGGCUAAAGGGCCAGAGGCAGCUGCUUGAUCUUGAUAGCCUCUCCUUCCACCAAGGUGGUCUCUUGAUGGCCAACAAGAAAUGUGAACUUCCCGAGGGAUCAUUUAGAACCCCUCAUAAGGGGUAUGAAGAAGUCCAUGUGCCAGCAUUGAAACCUAGGCCAUAUGGAACUGGAGAGAAGAUUGUGAAGAUAUCUGAUAUCCCAGGGUGGGCACAACCGGCUUUUGCUGGAAUGCAGCAGCUGAACAGGGUCCAGAGCAAGGUUUAUGAUACUGCCCUUUUCAAACCAGACAACAUCCUUCUCUGUGCUCCAACUGGUGCUGGUAAAACCAAUGUGGCUGUGCUUACAAUUCUUCACCAGAUUGGUUUGCAUAUGAAGGAUGGUGAGUUUGAUAAUAGCAAGUACAAAAUUGUCUAUGUGGCCCCAAUGAAAGCUCUGGUUGCUGAAGUUGUUGGAAACUUGUCGGCACGGCUUAAAGACUUCAAUGUUAAUGUUAGGGAGCUCAGUGGAGACCAGAACCUGACAAAACAACAGAUUGAUGAUACACAGAUCAUCGUCACCACACCUGAGAAGUGGGAUAUUGUCACGAGGAAAUCUGGGGACAGAACAUACACUCAAAUGGUAAAGCUUCUGAUCAUAGAUGAGAUCCAUCUGCUUCAUGACAACAGAGGGCCUGUCCUGGAGAGUAUUGUUUCUAGAACAGUACGGCAGAUUGAGACGACCAAGGAACAUAUUCGCCUAGUUGGCCUCUCUGCAACUCUUCCAAACUAUGAAGAUGUUGCUGUAUUCCUGCGUGUUCGCUCUGAGGGUCUCUUCCAUUUUGAUAACAGUUACCGGCCUUGCCCUCUUGCUCAGCAGUACAUUGGGAUCACUGUGAGGAAGCCACUGCAGAGGUUUCAGUUGAUGAAUGAGAUCUGUUAUGAGAAAGUAAUGGCUUCUGCUGGUAAGCAUCAAGUGCUUAUUUUUGUGCACUCCAGGAAGGAGACAUCGAAAACUGCUAGGGCCAUCAGAGACACUGCCUUGGCGAAUGAUACAUUGACUCGCUUUCUGAAGGAUGAGAGUGCAAGCCAGGAGAUCCUUGGCAGUCAUACAGAUAUUGUCAAAAGCAGUGAUCUUAAAGACCUUUUGCCGUAUGGGUUUGCUAUUCAUCAUGCUGGGAUGGCAAGGGUAGACCGUGAACUUGUUGAGGAACUUUUUGCUGAUAAGCAUAUACAGGUCCUUGUUUCGACAGCCACCCUUGCUUGGGGUGUCAACUUGCCUGCACAUACUGUUAUUAUAAAGGGCACACAGAUUUAUAAUCCGGAAAAAGGUGCUUGGACAGAAUUAAGUCCUCUGGAUGUCAUGCAGAUGCUUGGUCGUGCAGGUAGGCCUCAGUAUGACACACACGGAGAGGGAAUAAUCUUAACUGGCCACAGUGAAUUGCAAUACUACCUCUCCCUUAUGAAUCAACAGCUGCCUAUCGAGAGUCAGUUCGUAUCCAAGUUGGCAGAUCAGUUAAAUGCAGAGAUUGUUCUGGGUACUAUUCAGAAUGCUCGGGAAGCAUGCUCUUGGCUUGGCUACACUUAUCUCUACAUCCGGAUGCUGCGGAAUCCAACGCUGUAUGGCUUACCAGCAGAUAUCAUGGAGACGGACAAAACGCUAGAUGAGAGGAGAGCUGACUUGGUGCACUCUGCUGCAAAUUUGCUGGAUAGGAAUAAUUUGAUAAAGUACGACAGGAAAACAGGAUACUUUCAGGUUACGGACCUUGGAAGGAUUGCCAGUUAUUACUACAUUAGUCAUGGGACUAUUUCGACAUACAAUGAAUAUCUGAAGCCCACGAUGGGUGAUAUUGAGCUGUGUCGAUUGUUCUCUCUGAGUGAAGAGUUUAAGUAUGUUAGUGUCAGACAAGAUGAGAAGAUGGAGCUGGCAAAGCUUUUGGAUCGUGUGCCAAUUCCUGUAAAAGAGAGUUUGGAGGAGCCCAGUGCAAAGAUCAAUGUGCUGUUGCAAGCAUAUAUAUCUAGGUUGAAACUGGAGGGCCUCUCCCUUGGUUCUGAUAUGGUCUACAUCAGACAGAGUGCUGGCCGACUUCUACGAGCGCUUUUUGAGAUAGUUCUGAAGAGGGGAUGGGCUCAGUUAGCAGAGAAGGCUCUGAAUCUUUGCAAGAUGAUUGAUAAGCAGAUGUGGAGUGUCCAAACACCCUUGCGCCAGUUUCCUGGUAUUCCAAAGGAAAUUCUGAUGAAACUGGAGAAAAAAGAAUUGGCCUGGGAGAGGUACUAUGACCUAUCAUCGCAGGAAAUCGGUGAACUAAUCCGGUUUCAAAAGAUGGGGAAGCAGCUGCACAGGUGCAUCCACCAGUUGCCGAAGUUGAACCUUUCUGCCCAUGUUCAACCCAUUACUCGCACGGUUUUAGGUUUCGAACUGACUAUAACACCUGAUUUCCUAUGGGAUGAUAAGGUACAUGGAUAUGUUGAGCCAUUUUGGGUUAUAGUCGAGGACAAUGAUGGAGAGUACAUUCUUCACCAUGAGUACUUCAUGCUUAAGAAACAAUAUGUGGAUGAAGAUCACACACUUCACUUUACAGUGCCAAUAUAUGAGCCACUGCCUCCUCAGUAUUUUAUACGUGUUGUAUCUGACAAGUGGCUUGGUUCUCAGACGAUUCUCCCUGUUUGCUUUAGGCACUUGAUUCUUCCAGAAAAAUAUGCUCCACCAACUGAAUUGCUUGAUCUGCAGCCACUACCCGUCACUGCAUUGAGGAAUGCACGAUAUGAAGGUCUUUAUAGUGCUUUUAAACAUUUCAACCCCAUCCAGACUCAAGUGUUCACUGUCUUGUAUAAUAGUGACGACAGUGUAUUGGUUGCUGCACCAACUGGUAGUGGGAAGACUAUAUGUGCGGAAUUUGCUAUACUAAGGAACCAUCAGAAGGCUGUAUCUGGGGAAACCAACAUGCGUGUUGUGUAUAUAGCACCUAUUGAAGCUCUGGCCAAAGAAAGAUACAGAGACUGGUCAAAGAAAUUUGGUGAAUUUGCCCGUGUGGUUGAGCUAACAGGCGAAACUGCUGCUGAUUUGAAACUUCUUGACAAAGGGGAGAUCAUUAUCAGUACUCCUGAAAAGUGGGAUGCACUUUCUCGCCGGUGGAAGCAGCGGAAACCUGUCCAGCAAGUCAGCUUAUUUAUUGUUGAUGAGCUUCAUCUAAUUGGAUCUGAGAAGGGACAUGUUCUGGAAAUAGUUGUCUCUCGGAUGAGGCGUAUUUCAAGUCAUAUUGGCAGUAACAUCCGGAUUGUGGCGCUUUCAGCGUCACUUGGAAAUGCUAAAGAUCUUGGAGAAUGGAUUGGUGCUACUGCUCAUGGUCUUUUCAACUUCCCCCCAGCAGUGCGGCCAGUCCCGUUGGAAAUACACAUCCAGGGUGUGGAUAUAGCAAAUUUUGAGGCAAGAAUGCAAGCAAUGGCAAAGCCAACAUACACUGCCAUCACACAACAUGCAAAGAGUGGUAAGCCUGCCCUUGUGUUUGUGCCGACACGGAAGCAUGCAAGGUUGACUGCAUUGGAUUUGUGUGCAUACUCGAGUGCUGAGGGUGGCGGUACACCGUUCCUUCUUGGGUCCCAGGAUGAGAUGGAUACUUUCAUUGGAGGUGUCAAUGAAGAAACACUUAAAAAUACGCUGAGAUGUGGUGUGGGCUACUUGCAUGAGGGCCUUAGUGACCUUGACCAGGAACUGGUGACUCAGCUGUUUCUUGGUGGGAGGAUCCAAGUGUGUGUUGCAAGCAGCACGAUGUGCUGGGGCAGAUCAUUGCCUGCUCAUUUGGUUGUUGUGAUGGGAACCCAGUAUUAUGAUGGCCGGGAGAGUGCUCAUACUGAUUAUCCAAUCACUGAUCUGCUACAGAUGAUGGGUCAUGCUAGCAGGCCUCUUCAAGAUAACUCAGGGAAAUGUGUUAUAUUGUGCCAUGCACCUCGGAAGGAAUACUACAAGAAGUUCCUAUUUGAGGCCUUCCCUGUGGAGAGUCAUCUCCACCAUUUCUUGCAUGAUCAUAUGAAUGCCGAGGUUGUUGUGGGUGUUGUAGAAAACAAACAAGAUGCAGUGGACUAUCUUACUUGGACUUUCAUGUACAGGCGGCUGAACAAGAACCCCAACUACUACAACCUGCAGGGUGUAAGUCACAGGCAUCUGUCAGAUCAUCUUUCUGAGCUAAUCGAGACAGUGUUGAAUGACCUGGAGUCAAGCAAGUGCGUGGCUGUAGAGGAGGAUAUGUACCUGAAGCCGCUCAACCUUGGUCUCAUUGCUGCGUACUACUACAUCAGCUACACUACCAUUGAACGGUUCAGUUCAAUGCUAACUCAGAAGACCAAGAUGAAAGGUCUCCUCGAAAUUCUAGCUUCAGCAUCAGAAUAUGCAGAGCUUCCAAGUCGCCCAGGCGAAGAGGAAUACAUUGAGAGGCUAGUCCGUCACCAGAGGUUUUCUAUUGACAAACCCAAGUAUGGUGAUCCACAUGUCAAGGCGAACGCCCUGCUGCAAUCCCACUUUGCAAGGCACACGGUGGUAGGGAACCUGGCAGCCGACCAGCGCGAGAUCCUCCUUUCUGCCCAUAGGCUGCUCCUGGCAAUGGUUGAUGUCAUCUCUAGCAGUGGAUGGCUCACUCUGGCUCUGAAUGCAAUGGAGCUGAGCCAGAUGGUGACUCAAGGCAUGUGGGAUCGUGAUUCUGUGCUGCUCCAACUUCCACACUUCACCAGGGACCUGGCCCGGAGAUGCCAGGAAAAUGAAGCGAAGCCCAUCGAGAGCAUCUUUGAUCUGGCUGAGAUGAGCAUUGAUGAGAUGCGGGACCUGCUGCAGCUGUCAAACUCUGAGCUGCAGGACGUGGUCCAGUUCUUCAAGCGGUUCCCCAACGUCGACAUGACAUAUGAAGUCCGUGAGGGCGACGACGUAAGGGCCGGUGACAACGUGACCUUGCAGGUGACUCUGGAGCGUGACAUGACCAACCUGCCGAACUCUGAGGUCGGGCCGGUGCACGCCCCCAGGUUCCCCAAGACCAAGGAGGAAGGGUGGUGGCUGGUGGUCGGCGACAGCUCCACGAAGCAGCUGCUGGCGAUCAAGAGGGUCACCCUCCAGAAAAGGGCCCGUGUGAAGCUCGAGUUCACCGCUGCUGCGGAGCCAGGGAGCAAGGACUACAUGAUCUACCUGAUGUCGGACUCCUACCUUGGCUGCGACCAGGAGUACGAGUUCACCGUCGAUAUCAAGGAAGCUGGAGGCGACUGAUUUCGAACACCUAGAACUUUUUUUUAUACUGGGUUUUUGCUCUUAUGUGAGUGUGACAUGAAACUUAUUAUCAUCCUCUUGUCUGUAAUGUAACACCUGAAGUUUAGCUUUGAUUCAGGGUAAGUGUAACCUGAUGCACACGUACGUUAUUGUGUUUUUGUAUGGCAACGAGGAGGAUCUGCACUGGUUGCUGAUGAUGUUUUGCUGAUGUUCUUAUGUGAUGUUUCUUGAUCUGAUUUGACAAGUUAUUAUAAUAGGAUUAAGUUGAGCC